UACGUAGGGAGCAAGCGUUGUCCGGAUUUAUUGGGCGUAAAGAGCGUGUAGGCGGUUUGGUAGGUCCGCUGUGAAAACUCGAGGCUCAACCUCGAGACGCCGGUGGAAACCAUCAGGCUAGAGUCCGGAAGAGGAGAGUGGAAUUCCUGGUGUAGCGGUGAAAUGCGCAGAUAUCAGGAAGAACACCCGUGGCUAAGGCGGCUCUCUAGUACGGUACUGACGCUGAGACGCGAAAGCGUGGGGAGCGAACAGG
rnacentral:rRNA from 1 species